rnacentral:rRNA from 1 species
AUUGAACGCUGGCGGCAGGCCUAACACAUGCAAGUCGAGCGGCAGCGGGAAAGUAGCUUGCUACUUUUGCCGGCGAGCGGCGGACGGGUGAGUAAUGCCUGGGAAAUUGCCCGGUCGAGGGGGAUAACAGUUGGAAACGACUGCUAAUACCGCAUACGCCCUACGGGGGAAAGCAGGGGACCUUCGGGCCUUGCGCGAUUGGAUAUGCCCAGGUGGGAUUAGCUAGUUGGUGAGGUAAUGGCUCACCAAGGCGACGAUCCCUAGCUGGUCUGAGAGGAUGAUCAGCCACACUGGAACUGAGACACGGUCCAGACUCCUACGGGAGGCGGCAGUGUGGAAUAUUGCACAUUGGGGGAAACCCUGAUGCAGCCAUGCCGCGUGUGUGAAGAAGGCCUUCGGGUUGUAAAGCACUUUCAGCGAGGAGGAAAGGUUGAUGCCUAAUACGUAUCAACUGUGACGUUACUCGCAGAAGAAGCACCGGCUAACUCCGUGCCAGCAGCCGCGGUAACAC